CUCCUACGGGAGGCAGCAGUGGGGGAUAUUGCACAAUGGGGGGAACCCUGAUGCAGCGACGCCGCGUGGGUGAAGAAGCGCCUCGGCGCGUAAAGCCCUGUCAGCAGGGAAGAAAAUGACGGUACCUGAAGAAUAAGCUCCGGCUAACUACGUGCCAGCAGCCGCGGUAAUACGUAGGGAGCAAGCGUUAUCCGGAUUUACUGGGUGUAAAGGGCGUGUAGGCGGGCUUGCAAGUCAGAAGUGAAAUCUGGGGGCUUAACCCCCAAACUGCUUUUGAAGCUGUGGGUCUUGAGUGAUGGAGAGGG
rnacentral:rRNA from 1 species